rnacentral:lncRNA from 1 species
UGGAAAAAUGUGGGAGGAAAGUAAGAAAGCAACACUGCUGGUGGACCGAAGAGAGUAACGCGGCCAUUGGACAAAUGUGGGAGGAAAGUAAGAAAUCAACACUGCUGGUGGACCGAAGAGACCUUUAGGUUGCAUAAUUUUUGUAAGAUGAUCUACUCUGGAAAACAACAUGCCGUGUUGUUUUAAUAAAACAUCACAAAGUUUGUUCUGCUGCCUCUUUGUUUGU